CUUACAUCUUGGAACUCUCUAGUGACUUCAAAUUACUCAAUGAGAAGACACAAUGGAGUCGCUAGGGAAAUUUUACCCUCCAAUGCCUGGGCUUUGCACUUACAUGAACCGUUUUUAUGCUAUUUUAUAACAGAAUCAUUUGUCUCCUUACCCUUUUUGGGGGCGGGCACCACCAGGCUCCUAUUGGGCAGUGUGAUUUUCCCCUAGCACCACUGCAUUUUUUCAUUUCUUUCUAGUAUCAUUGUGGCCUUAGGCUUUUUGUAAACCCAGCUGGUUCCAAUUAAGUAUAAUCACUGUUUUCUUUCUGAUGAUCUAAAAGUAGAACUAAACUAGGGUCACUGCCCUCAAGAGACUUAAAUUCUGUUUGGAAAAACAAGAUCCAACAUACAUGAAAAACACAGUGAACAAAAGGAUGUGGCGAGUGCAGACCUGAAUCUGGGCCACUGAUGGAUUCAAUACCCACAGGAUAUCUGUUCCAGACAAGCUGCCAAAGGACAAACGAUGAUCUCUCUGGAAGCUAGGACUGCAGCCCUGAUUACUUUUAGGACAGCUGCCCCAUCACUGUCUCCCAGGCUGGCCUAAGUUUCUGGACCUUUCUCUGUUCUAUCUUCUGUCCUGUAUCCAGUGUCUGCAAAAGGGGACACCCUUGCUGGGCCUUUACCCCAAGCCCCAGGCCCCAGCAUCAUCCCUGAAUGAAGGGUCACUCAGAGACCGCAGGAGCAGGUUAGAAUUCUGCAUUUUCUGAGCCAUCUCAGGUGAGUCCAUGCUGACACUAUAUUUUCACAAGGAAAAAAAUUCAGGAACUAGAACCGGGAGACAAAGAUAACAGCCUGGUGCCAACUUGGUGCAUUGACUUUAACCAAAUCAUUGGGUGCUGAUCCUUAGUCCUCAGUCCCCACCAGAAUAAUCCUUCCCCAGGGAACAGUAAAGUCACUGUCUCACAUCUGAGCUAUGGUUUCCUCCUAGGCUUCUUCUCCACAUCGUCCACAGGACAGCUGGCUGCUGCCUGAUGAUUCACUAGGAGGCCUGGCCCCUUGACAGAGCAAAUUCCAGUGAGGACUGCAAAUGGCUUCCAGUGUCUGUUUGCCCAAGGCCUCCUGGGAACUGAGGGCCUGGCAUGAGCACAGCGGGGAACUGCAAACCAGGCAUUUUAUCCUGUCUGCUGUCUCUCACUCAUCACUUCCCUGAGGAAAGUUCAAAUUCAAAACAAAACAGCCGUUUUUGCAAAGCCAGCCGUUUUGCUCCACGGACCUGGGAAAGAUUUGAUGUAAAACCAGUUCUCAGGAAGCUGCACAUGAUUCACAGAUCUUAAUGCUGCCGGAGGCACAGAGUGCAAAGGAGAGAGCGGGGAAGAGAGGAAUGUAGCUGUCUCACCUUGGAAAGGGGGUAAACUGAGGCAAGGCUCAGCCGGAAAGUGAGUGAUAGGAAUCAACAGGAGGCACCACCGCUGCCAUUUCAUCUGGUUCAGUGUUCAUCCAGUGACUCUCCUCUCCGAGCCUUCUGCAGACACAGACAGGCAUUCAGAAACCAGCCUGCUGGAGACAUUACAGACUCGGGCAGCAGAGUGGGGUGAUGGGACACAGGAAGGUCGACAUUCAGAGAUGGG
ensembl:lncRNA